UGAGGGGGCGGGCGUUGCUUUUCUUUCUUAAAAGGAAGAAUACAACGUUUUUGUUCACAAUGGAUGCAUUUCUCCGUGUAGAGCUAGCACACCUGAUUCAACGUGUCAAGCAAAGCCCUUGACUAGGUCGCUGGUUCAGUUCUCCUGCUCAAGUCGACUACUCACUGAGGAACCGUUUCAACGCUCAGUCUUUCUGAUGUUUAUUCUUCUAAUCUAUUCCUGGAGCUGCUGCUACACGCUCCACCUCCACUUCCUGGUUAUUUUCGGCAGUGUGUGUUUUGGUGUCAGGCUCCGCGGAUGGUGGGUUUGGGAAAUACCUGGUCACGAUAAAUCAGGGGGAGGUUUAGCUAAGAACAUGUCACCCCCUACUGCAUGGGAAGGAGAAAUGCAUGCAUAUACGGAUGUUAGUAGAUACAUAAAGUGCUGUGAAAAAGUAUUUGCCCCUUUCUAAUUUAGCAUUUUUUCUUCUAAAUACUAAAUGUUAUCAGAUUUAACACCCAAUGGCCCUAUGGGGAAAAGGUAAUUGCCCCCAGCCUCCCU